rnacentral:rRNA from 1 species
UGGGGAAUAUUGCACAAUGGGCGCAAGCCUGAUGCAGCCAUGCCGCGUGUAUGAAGAAGGCCUUCGGGUUGUAAAGUACUUUCAGCGGGGAGGAAGGCGAUAAGGUUAAUAACCUUGUCGAUUGACGUUACCCGCAGAAGAAGCACCGGCUAACUCCGUGCCAGCAGCAGCGGUAAUACGGAGGGUGCAAGCGCUAAUCGGAAUUACUGGGCGUAAAGCGCACGCAGGCGGUCUGUCAAGUCGGAUGUGAAAUCCCCGGGCUCAACCUGGGAACUGCAUUCGAAACUGGCAGGCUAGAGUCUUGUAGAGGGGGGUAGAAUUCCAGGUGUAGCGGUGAAAUGCGUAGAGAUCUGGAGGAAUACCGGUGGCGAAGGCGGCCCCCUGGACAAAGACUGACGCUCAGGUGCGAAAGCGUGGGGAGCAAACA